AACUCAUGGGAGCUCAGGUGCUUGCAAUGCAGCUGAAUGACCAGAAGGGCUGGACCCAGGAUCCACCCCUUCCCAGCCCUCAUUUAAGGGUUGGCAGUGGAAACAAGGAUAUCUCCCUGCAGGUUUGUGCCUACCUAAGGCUUUCUAAAGUUUUGGAUGGGAGAGGUGAAUUAUUGCCCUGCAUACAACUUUGGGCCACACACUCAAUGCUGCCACCCAUAAACACCUUACCUCAUCUUGAAGGACUGGUGACACAAGGCUGUACCCGACGUCAUGCAGGGCUGUGUGAUGACUGAUUCCUGUGAAUGAAAGAAUCAGCCUGAUCUCAUGUUCCAAGAAUGAAACCCUGGCAUGGAAGUGGCAUAUCUACUAGUUAAUGUCAACAUUUGAUGUGCAGUCAGAGAGCAAACAGGAUUUCAUAUUGUGGUUUUUUUUAAAAAAAGGGAAAUACUAUUUGCUUUAAUUCUAGUUUCUUUGUGUUGGAUGUAUUAGGAGUCGCAUAAAAUAGUAAAAGAAUUUCAUUCUUACUUGCUAUUAUAAGAAGCAAAAAUAUAUA